AUCUGGAGUCCGUUUUGGGCUCCGGAGAGGGGAAAUCGUCGCCAUCGUCAUCAUCAAUCUUCCUCCAUCGACAAUUCCAUGAUGCUCUUCAUCGUUCGUGAGUAAUCUCAUCAUAGGCUUGCUGGACGGUAAUGAGUUGGAUGAGGUCUAUCAUGUAAUCGAGUUAGUUUUCACGGGGAUUGAUCCCUAUUAUCCACUAUGUUCUAGAUUGAUGUUGCUACUACUUGGCUAUGCUUAAUGCUUGUCACUAGGGCCUGAGUACCAUGAUUUCAGAUCUGAACCUAUUAUGUUGUCGUCAAUAUAUGUGUGUUUUAAAUCCUAUCUUGCAAGUUGUAGUCACCUACUAUGUGUUAUGACCCGGCAACCCCUGAGUGACAAUAGCCGGAACCACUCCCGGAGAUGACCAUAGUAUGAGGAGUUCAUGUAUUCAUCAAGUGUUAAUGUGUUGGUCCGAUUCUUUAUUAAAAGGAGAACCUUAAUAUCCCGUAGUUUUCAUUAGGACCCCGCUGCCACGGGAGGGAUGGACAAUAGAUGUCAUGCAAGUUCUUUUUCCGAAGCACGUAUGACUACAUACGGAAUAAAUGCCUACAUUAGAUUGACGAACGGGAGUAAUUACAUAUCUCUCAGUGUUAUAGCUGUUGCAUGAUGAAUCACAUCCGUCAUACUCAUCCAUCACCGAUCCACUACCUACGAGUCUUUUACUACUGGUCCUUGCUAUGUUACUUUGUCUACGCUUGUCCCUUGCUACAAAAGGGAUUGGGUCACUUUGCUACUACUGUUCCUACUACUGUUACUC
rnacentral:lncRNA from 1 species